CAUGUUCAUAAUCAGUUUCCCCAUGAUGAUACCAAAUUUUGUAACUUCGUGUAAACCCACUCAAAUAUAGAUGAGUCCAAACAUCCCACUCUUUAAUAACCUUUCUAUUUUUACAAUUAGAGCAAGGACAUCUUAACGUACCUGUUUUUGCUUCCGGUUGUCGGUGAACUAACCCCAUGAAUUCUGUUAUACCUCGUUGGUAUUCUUCCGUAAGCAAUCUCGUGUUCGGAUCCAAAUGAGGUCGAUCGAUCCAAGAACGAAAAGAAUUUGAAGAAGA
rnacentral:lncRNA from 1 species